rnacentral:rRNA from 1 species
GGGUCAGUAGGUUGGUCGUGCCACCGGUACGUACUGGUCUCACCGAUUCCUCCUUCCUGAAGAACCGUAAUGCCAUUAAUUUGGUGUUGCGGGGAAACAGGACUGUUACUUUGAAAAAAUCAGAGUGUUUAAAGCAAGCUAACGCUUGAAUACAUUAGCAUGGAAUAAUGAAAUAGGACGAUCGAUCCUAUUUUGUUGGUUUCUAGGAUUGACGUA